rnacentral:rRNA from 1 species
CACGUAGGGCGCAAGCGUUGUCCGGAAUUAUUGGGCGUAAAGAGCUCGUAGGCGGUCUGUUACGUCUGCUGUGAAAACCCAGGGCUUAACCCUGGGCUUGCAGUGGAUACGGGCAGACUAGAGGCAGGUAGGGGAGAAUGGAAUUCCCGGUGUAGCGGUGAAAUGCGCAGAUAUCGGGAGAAACACCGGUGGCGAAGGCGGUUCUCUGGGCCUGACCUGACGCUGAGGAGCGAAAGCGUGGGGAGCGAACAGG